rnacentral:rRNA from 1 species
UUAAGCGACUAAGCGUACACGGUGGAUGCCCUGGCAGUCAGAGGCGAUGAAGGACGUGCUAAUCUGCGAAAAGCGUCGGUAAGGUGAUAUGAACCGUUAUAACCGGCGAUGUCCGAAUGGGGAAACCCAGUGUGAUUCGUCACACUAUCGUUAACUGAAUACAUAGGUUAACGAGGCGAACCGGGAACUGAAACAUCUAAGUACCCCGAGGAAAGAAAUCAACCGAGAUUCCCCAGUAGCGGCGAGCGAACGGGAGCAGCCAGAGUCUGAAUCAGCUUGUGUGUUAGUGGAACGGUCUGGAAAGUCCGACGGUACAGGGUGAUAGUCCGUACACCAAAAUGCACAGGUUGUGAACUCGAAGAGUAGGGCGGGACACGUGGUAUCCUGUCUGAAUAUGGGGACCAUCCUCCAAGGCUAAAUACUCCUGACUGACCGAUAGUGAACCAGUACCGUGAGGAAAGGCGAAAAGAACCCCGGCGAGGGGAGUGAAAAGAACCUGAAACCGUGUACGUACAAGCAGUGGGAGCACCUUCGGGUGUGACUGCGUACCUUUGUAUAAUGGGUCAGCGACUUAUAUUCUGUAGCAAGGUUAACCGUAUAGGGAGCCGCAGGAAACCGAGUCUUAACUGGGCGUUAAGUUGCAGGGUAUAGACCCGAAACCCGGUGAUCUAGCCAUGGGCAGGUUGAAGGUUGGGUAACACUAACUGGAGGACCGAACCGACUAAUGUUGAAAAAUUAGCGGAUGACUUGUGGCUGGGGGUGAAAGGCCAAUCAAACCGGGAGAUAGCUGGUUCUCCCCGAAAGCUAUUUAGGUAGCGCCUCGUGAACUCAUCUUCGGGGGUAGAGCACUGUUUCGGCUAGGGGGUCAUCCCGACUUACCAACCCGAUGCAAACUACGAAUACCGAAGAAUGUUAUCACGGGAGACACACGGCGGGUGCUAACGUCCGUCGUGAAGAGGGAAACAACCCAGACCGCCAGCUAAGGUCCCAAAGUCAUGGUUAAGUGGGAAACGAUGUGGGAAGGCACAGACAGCCAGGAUGUUGGCUUAGAAGCAGCCAUCAUUUAAAGAAAGCGUAAUAGCUCACUGGUCGAGUCGGCCUGCGCGGAAGAUGUAACGGGGCUAAACCAUGCACCGAAGCUGCGGCAGCGACACUAUGUGUUGUUGGGUAGGGGAGCGUUCUGUAAGCCUGCGAAGGUGACCUGUGAGGGUUGCUGGAGGUAUCAGAAGUGCGAAUGCUGACAUAAGUAACGAUAAAGCGGGUGAAAAGCCCGCUCGCCGGAAGACCAAGGGUUCCUGUCCAACGUUAAUCGGGGCAGGGUGAGUCGACCCCUAAGGCGAGGCCGAAAGGCGUAGUCGAUGGGAAACAGGUUAAUAUUCCUGUACUUGGUGUUACUGCGAAGGGGGGACGGAGAAGGCUAUGUUAGCCGGGCGACGGUUGUCCCGGUUUAAGCAUGUAGGCUGGUUAUCCAGGCAAAUCCGGAUAAUCAAGGCUGAGGUGUGAUGACGAGGCACUACGGUGCUGAAGUAACAAAUGCCCUGCUUCCAGGAAAAGCCUCUAAGCAUCAGGUAACAUCAAAUCGUACCCCAAACCGACACAGGUGGUCAGGUAGAGAAUACCAAGGCGCUUGAGAGAACUCGGGUGAAGGAACUAGGCAAAAUGGUGCCGUAACUUCGGGAGAAGGCACGCUGGUGUAGUGAAGCCUGCGGGUGGAGCUGAGACCAGUCGAAGAUACCAGCUGGCUGCAACUGUUUAUUAAAAACACAGCACUGUGCAAACACGAAAGUGGACGUAUACGGUGUGACGCCUGCCCGGUGCCGGAAGGUUAAUUGAUGGGGUUAUCCGUAAGGAGAAGCUCUUGAUCGAAGCCCCGGUAAACGGCGGCCGUAACUAUAACGGUCCUAAGGUAGCGAAAUUCCUUGUCGGGUAAGUUCCGACCUGCACGAAUGGCGUAAUGAUGGCCAGGCUGUCUCCACCCGAGACUCAGUGAAAUUGAACUCGCUGUGAAGAUGCAGUGUACCCGCGGCAAGACGGAAAGACCCCGUGAACCUUUACUAUAGCUUGACACUGAACAUUGAGCCUUGAUGUGUAGGAUAGGUGGGAGGCUUUGAAGCGUGGACGCCAGUCUGCGUGGAGCCAACCUUGAAAUACCACCCUUUAAUGUUUGAUGUUCUAACGUUGGCCCCUGACCGGGGUUGCGGACAGUGUCUGGUGGGUAGUUUGACUGGGGCGGUCUCCUCCCAAAGCGUAACGGAGGAGCACGAAGGUUAGCUAAUCCUGGUCGGACAUCAGGAGGUUAGUGCAAUGGCAUAAGCUAGCUUGACUGCGAGCGUGACGGCGCGAGCAGGUGCGAAAGCAGGUCAUAGUGAUCCGGUGGUUCUGAAUGGAAGGGCCAUCGCUCAACGGAUAAAAGGUACUCCGGGGAUAACAGGCUGAUACCGCCCAAGAGUUCAUAUCGACGGCGGUGUUUGGCACCUCGAUGUCGGCUCAUCACAUCCUGGGGCUGAAGUAGGUCCCAAGGGUAUGGCUGUUCGCCAUUUAAAGUGGUACGCGAGCUGGGUUUAGAACGUCGUGAGACAGUUCGGUCCCUAUCUGCCGUGGGCGCUGGAGAAUUGAGGGGGGCUGCUCCUAGUACGAGAGGACCGGAGUGGACGCAUCACUGGUGUUCGGGUUGUCAUGCCAAUGGCACUGCCCGGUAGCUAAAUGCGGAAGAGAUAAGUGCUGAAAGCAUCUAAGCACGAAACUUGCCCCGAGAUGAGUUCUCCUGAGACUUUAAGUCUCCUGAAGGAACGUUAAAGACGAUGACGUUGAUAGGCCGGGUGUGUAAGCGCAGCGAUGCGUUGAGCUAACCGGUACUAAUGAACCGUGAGGCUUAACCU